rnacentral:lncRNA from 1 species
AACACGACAAAGUCAAUCCGUGCUUUAUUAUUAAAAAAAUAGGGAAAGAUUAAAUAGUACAUACACACACACACGUAUAUCUCCUAAAAGAAACAUGAUCUUGAGGUUUAGCAUCCACUGACAGUAAACAAUUUGCAAGAACAAUAACAACGAGUUCCCCAAGAGAAAAGGAAAAAUCAAGAAGAUUCUCCGAUGCAAACGGUGCUACGCUAUGGAUAACUGAGCAUCUGAACAAAACUUAACGGCAUGAUACACUCAGCAGUCGCGAUCAAACAUUAAUUCACACGCAAAAAAAGUCGCACCAUGAUCCAUAAAACAGGCAUGAGUACCAAAUUUGGUAUUUCAUUUUUUUUCACCUGCAAAAGAAAAACGAAUACCAAGUUUAGUAUCAGAAGCCAGGCGCCGGAAUAUUUCCAGCCCAAUAAUCUCCGUUGGAUUUCGGAAAGGAGAACAAUAACAGGCACAGGCUGUUGAUCCAAGUGCUACAACAGAUUAUCAGGCUGAGUCCCUACAACACAGUCCUUUUAUUAACGUGGGUCCUGGACAACGUUCGUUUAGCGCCGAAUUCAUAAACACAAAAGUGGUUGUGAAUCAGUCCAAAAAUCAGAAAUACAGCUAAGACAGCGCAAAUGAUAAGCCGAGUUCUAUGUUUUCACCAUCACAACAACUUGACACCAGCUUCUCUGACAGAAUCUAUAACAGCCUUGACUUUCCGAUGGUACUUCUGCUCUCUCUUCAUGUGGAUGGACAUGAUAGAAUCACGGAUCGGUUAGGCUAGGAUUCCGGCAACAGUAGUGAUAGGUAUUGCCUUUUUCUUGGCCUGAGGAGUUCCCGCCGUUGGCCAUGGUGGAUGGCUACGGCGGUGAUGGCAGAGAGUGCGUGAGUGGCGGCGGUGGAGCUUCCCAUCGCUUCAGUGCCUCCCUCUGGAUCGGAUAGGGUUAUGAGUGGGGAACAGUGGCGGUGACGAACCUCGUACUCCGUGCCCCUGGUCCCCACCUCCUCUUUAUAGCACUGCGCGACAGGGGCCCACCAGCCUUGCUUGGGCUGGACGCCCCCGAUCAGGGCGUGGGUCAAGGGCCCAAUGAGCCGUUGGGCCCAUUGGUGGAGAGAUCAAUCUAACAUUCUCCCCCUUGAUCUCAUCAUAUACUUUUAACUUUAUACUUUGAAAUAACUCUUUUCAAAGUACUCGUUCCAUCACAGAUUUGCAUGUAGAGCAUGUCUCAUCAUCACGGUUCAUUCCCGAUAGAAUCAACACCUACAACACACUCUUCUGUUUUGAAACAGAAUCUUUAACCUUGGGCCCUUUUAUUGUCCGGAAAUCUUAGACUAUACCAUAAAACCCAUGUCGACUGUGUGUUCUCUGAACACACUGGGCGGUAAGCCUUUAAUUAAGCAGAUCUGCGAACACUUGUCUGUUGCUUUUAUGCUUCAAGCAUUUUUACAUAAUUCCGGACUUUCUCCUUUACAACGCAUAACUCUGUGUCAGUGUGUUUGGCAUCAACACUUGACUCGUUGUCAUAGGAGCAAAAAACUUAAAAUGGUUAUCGUUGUUGUCAACCAUUAUCAGUUCCGGGUACAGGUCUCCUUAACCAUUUUGCCUGUCCCUCAGCCUCAUAUCAAGCUAUAACCUAUCUUUGCAUCAUAUUGAUGAUAAUUGUUUCAUUCUUUUUGGAGCUUUUCCACACAAAAAACUCCAAGUGUGAAAGUUAGCGACAAUUGUGGAUUCCGCUAUACGUUCACAAGUCUUGUCUUUGUACUCACAAUCUUUUGAGAGCACUUAUUUCUUUCAGCAUGAGGCUGGUAUCUUUGACUCCAUUCCAUGUGAUCUAUAUAUGGACUGGACAUUGUCAAAACAAUUCGGAUCCGUGAACUGUGUCAGGGUAAUAUAUUGAGCUUCCAACAGCUUAAGCAUAUGGUACCAUAUCCGUUUUCAAUCUUUUCUCAUCAACUUUUGGAACACCAUAGUUUCCAGUCUCAUUACCCUUGACUAUAAGAACAGGCGUAGGUUUUCUCGCAUGCAUACUUUAGAGACCUUUCUUAGCAUGUCCAUGUCACAUUCCCAAUACCCCUUUUAUUAUUUUCUUGGUGAAUCUCGAUAAUUAUAACAAGAGACACUCUACUGAGAACAUUAUCUUGAACUUUGAGAACAAGAACUUCUUUUCUUCUCCUGCAGUAGAUUGACAUGACCACUAGUAAGUAGGACGUCAUCCACAUGCACAUGAUUAGGAAAUGAAUUUCCCAAUCUAUAACUUUGCAUGAAUACAAUUGUCCUCUCAUUUUCUUUAACCCAAAAUAACAUCUGAUUCUACUAACUUUAAAUGCCACUGUCUAGAGACUUGCUCUAGUCCAUAAAAGACUUCUUGAAGCAGUAUCCCUUGCGUUCUUUACUUUCAUCUGAUGUAACUCAGAUCAUGAUGUCGAUCAUGAUGUGCCACUAACACUCAUUGUAAUCUAUUCAUUCUCUUUUCACAAAAUCUUUCGAUUUAAGUCACGCUUUACACCUUUACAUAUUUCCUUUGGAGUCACAUUGAACUUGUAGACCCUUUACAGCCUACUGUUUUGACUCCAUUGGAAAUUACUUAUGAGUCCCAAACAUCGUCGGGAUUCACAAAUUUUAUUUCAUCUCACAUAGUCCCUUUAUCAUUUAGACAAAACAGACACUACUCAAAACUCGAUUGAGCGCUUUAAACGAGGUGGAAUCAACCUCCAUUAACAUAGACUUUAUGGUAAUCAGGAGUAUCUGAUUUUCUCAUUCCUCGAGACCAUCUGUGUCUCAGGUACUGGCACUUCUUUCAUAUGGGGUUGUUGUUGCUCUGUCAUUGCCAACAGGCAAAUUAAUUGUAUACUCUUUCAUUUCCAAGAGGCAAUAGGUUUUACAGGGACCUUUAUCACAAGAUCCAUGUUUAAUCAUUCCUCCUUUAUAGAGCUAACAACGGGUGUUGUAUAGGUCAUACAACAUGCUCCCUAGAUACAAUCUUUUUGAGUCUUAGGUAUCUUCAUACCAUGCUCCCCCAGAUUACUCCAUCUUCACUAAGAAUGGCGUAUCUUUAAGAUUAUUAUUUGGGUUUAUUCUGUUAAAACUUUCUUCUUUAUGGCACUUUAAGCACCGUCUUAGUAUUCCUUAGUCUGCUUUCGGAACUGUAAAAGAUCUAGGAAUACAACUAUUUCUUUUCUUUAGGGGUAUUAUUAUGAUCGUCGUACUCCCCCAGACGAUCACAUUCUUCAUUAAUGGAUAUCUCAUAUUUCUUUCUCCCCCUCGAAAUGUGGCAAGAACUUUUCUGCCACAAUUUCGAAAAACCAUUCACAACUCUUGUGAAUUGAGGAAACUUUGAAUAUCUACUUCAUUUAUCUGAUUACUUCAUAUAUAAUGAAGUUAUUUGUUAACUGGUAUGGGAGUACUUUUUCCUUAUUCCAUUUCAGAAACUCAACAAAGUUCUUUCUCAUUAGUACUUUUGCAAGUCACACUUGCAUAUCAUUCUUAUCUUUAGGUUCGUCUGUAACUUUUGUUCUCUUCGGAUUUAUCGAGUGCUUAAUGACCGUUACACAUAAGAUGUACGGUCGAUACUAGGAAGGCAUAAUAGCUACUCCAUACUUUUCUCCCAGAGUGGGACACAUUAAAAGCACAUGAGUCACCAUGUCUUUCUCCUGUCAUACAAGAUAAGUCUGAGAAAAUUUCUGCCGCCAUACGGGUUACGCAGGGAUUUUCCCAGACUUUUCCUGCCAUGCGGGUUUUAUCAUAAACAUCUUUUCCCGCCAUGCGGGUAAUUCCCUGUACGGGACAUAAAUGCCAGAAUUGGCUCUUUUGACUGCAUAUUCAAUCAUCAAAUUUAGGAAUAAAUCCGAAUGCUCUUUGACACACAUGCUUGAUCCGACGUUGGUCAAAUUAAACACGCAUGUUGCUUGUUUCAACUCAAAUCAUGUUGACUGAAUAAUCUGCUUCAUAGAGAGUACAUGAAAGACAUUCGUCAACCAAGACUCUCAAUGAUCUAUCUCUUUUCUUUUCUUGGAUAUUAAUAUUCAAGAAUUAUUUUCUUUUAAAGCCAUUCUUUAGAGAGAACAUACUCCCUCACAUUAUGACCUUUCUUGGUCAUCUUUCGGGUCACAAGUACCCAGGCAUUUUCUUUCACGAAUGAAGGCAUGGAAAACUUUUAGUCUGAGAAAAAAUUUAGCCAAUAAUCAACAAUACUGAGCAUAAAAAUAACCCAUGUUGAUCUGGUUAAAAAAUAUGCACAUUAAACUUUUAAAACCUUCUUCUAUAUUCGAAAUCACCGUUGGGCAGAAUUAGAAUAAAACAUCAUCCUUCUACAUUAAUUCCAUAUCACCGUUGGGCGGAAAUGGAAAUAAUGCAUAUAACUCUUAAACAAUGUGAUGAUAGUAUUUCUAUUAAACAACUUUGAUAAGAAAUCAUCAUCAUCACCAACUUUAUUGCAGCGGGAACAAGAAAUAUACAUUUCUCUAGCUCAAGAGCUUUUCUUGAUCUUUAUCUUUUCUCUGAAAAUUGAUCACUUUGAUACAAAAUUUAUCAGAGAUUUAAGCUUUGAACAUAGGACUCAUAGAACUAUAAUACUGUUAUUAUCAACGUUGGUCAGAAAAUAACAAUACCAUAUUUUCACUUUAAAACAAAUAUCUUUCUUUUGUCAUAUUGGAAACUAUCUGAAUCUUAUUUCACCCACAUGGGAAAAACAUUGCUAAGAACAGUUCUUCCAAUUAAAUUUUCCCGUUGGUUCCAAUUUAAUUGGAGGAUAAAACUUUACUUUGCAGCGGAAAUUUUACAAUAUUCUAUUCAGAAACAAUUCUGUACUCUUUUACUCUUUAAGCAAUUUUAACCGGUUGGUUAAAAAUGCAUUAGAGAAGCAACAAUUUAAUCAUUUUCUUUAGUUCUAUUCACUUUUAAAAGAGCACUUUUAUUUUUAUUUUGCAGCGGAAAACAUGGAUUAAAAAAUUCAUGAACUUUUUAUUCUUUACAAAAACUUUUAUUUACUGUUACUUUGCUAUUUUCUAGACAAAUUUUCGUUGGAUUAAUUUGAAUAGAAAAAAAACUCCGGACAAAACAAAAAAAUGAAACGCUUCCUGUGCUGGCCGCAAAUGGCCCAGCCAUUCGGAGCCCGUUUGGCUCGCGCGCGGCUGCCGGAUCCGGCCCAGCGCGCCGCUGCGGCCUGACGCGGCCCAGCGACCGCCAGUGCUAGCAGCCCAGGGCGUGCGAGCCGGUCUUGCCGCACUUGUGGCCCAAAAGGGCCCAUGUACGCUAGGUUUUCUAUCGGGACCGUUCAACAGAUCGGACGAUCGCCCGUGGAGAUCGCUCGAUCAAAAACGAAGCAGCGAGGGGAUCGACCGAAACCCUCGGCCAUUCCUUUCCUUCCCCCGCGCCGCCGCGGACUGCGCCGUGGGUCCUGACCUCGCCGGCCGCCGGCGACGCCGUCAAGCGCCUCCGCGCGCGCUGGGCUCCUUUUCUUCCCUUCCCCCUCCUUUGUCAGUGAGAGAGAGGCGCGGCGGAGCCAUCAUCUGCUCCGCACCCGCAAGGGCAAUGCCCAGCCACCGGCGAGUCUCUGUAUGGCCGCCGGCGACAGCGUCAAAAGCCACCUCGCCGCGCGAGCCACCUCUUCUUCGCCUUGUUUCUCUGUUUCUCCACCACCCGCGUCUCCUCUCUGUUUCACCGAGGACAACGACGGCGUGAAGCAGCGGUGCCCCCUCUGUGCCCCUUGCCGGUGUGCGCGAGCUCCCGUGGGAGAGCGCGCCGCCGUCAAGCGGUGCGGUGGUGGUGCCCUUUUGCCCCCUUGGGGAGGUUGUGUUCUUCUUCCCCGCACCUCGGCUUGCCGAUGCGUGUGGGGAUCGAGAGGAACUGCGCGGCCUUGCGGCGGCGCACUUAGCUGGCGAGCACGAGGCCCUCUCCGGUGAUUUCUUUGCCCUGUUUCGGGGUAGGUUCUUCGUCCGACGCCUCGGCUUGCCGAUGCGCGUCCGGAUCGAGAGGAACGGCGCGGCCUUCCGGCGGCGCACUUUGCCCUUCUCCCCUCUUUCUUUUUGUUUUGGGGUUAGGGUUUCUCUCGGGAGGGGAUUUCCUUUUCUUUUCUGUACCGAAAAUCCUAAACCAAUCUCUGGCUGAUACCAUUGAUAGAAUCACGGAUCGGUUAGGCUAGGAUUCCGGCAACAGUAGUGAUAGGUAUUACCUUUUUCUUGGCCCGAGGAGUUCCCGCCGUUGGCCAUGGUGGAUGGCUACGGCGGUGAUGGCAGAGAGUGCGUGAGUGGCGGCGGUGGAGCUUCCCAUCGCUUCAGUGCCUCCCUCUGGAUCGGAUAGGGUUAGGAGUGGGGAACAGUGGCGGUG